UUGCAGUCUAUGUACAUGUUGUGAUGUUCCCCUCUAGCGUUAUCCGGACCAGUGAUCUUCUAGGCAACUCCAAUCCUUGACUCUGGGAGCCAGCCUUACCCUGCUCUGCUGUGAGAACCCUCACUCCAGGGCUGAUCACGCACAGCCUCUGGCACGUAAGCUGCUCCCAGCUAUUUGCAAGCGAA